rnacentral:lncRNA from 1 species
AGAAAACGCCAGAGCAGUAGAAAAUAUUGAUCAAUUAUUGGUUACUGGCAAGACAAAAGGUAGAAGGAACCAUAGUAUAAGUAAAAAGGGAACCGCAAUUUAAGUACAAUGGAACCAUAUGAGUAUAUGAAUGCAGUUAAGGGGGAGCUUGUCUCGUAUCCAUAAUGCUCGUUCGCGGUGGUUGACUUGCCAGACCAGGUGGACCGAUUAUCCCAAUCACCAUGAAAUCAUUGUUCUCCAUCAAAUACUUCAAGAAGGAAGAAAUAAAAAACACGAGUUCAAUUUUUCAUGCAUGCCAUUUAGCAACCAGUAAUGCUAAGUUUCAGUUGUAACGUAAACGUAUAGGACGCAAGUAUCAAUAGCCGGAUUGUAUAUAUGUCAAGAACAACUGUGUGCAAUACAAGGUAUAGCUCCACAAAUAAUUCUAGUGUACACUAUACAUAUAUAGGUUAAGAACCACUGUGUACUGACCAGCCCUUCUGAAAUCCCUGGUCCUAUGUGAUAACAU